rnacentral:rRNA from 1 species
GACGAACGCUGGCGGCGUGCUUAACACAUGCAAGUCGAACGGAAAGGCCCUGCUUUUGUGGGGUGCUCGAGUGGCGAACGGGUGAGUAACACGUGAGUAACCUGCCCUUGACUUUGGGAUAACUUCAGGAAACUGGGGCUAAUACCGGAUAGGAGCUCCUGCUGCAUGGUGGGGGUUGGAAAGUUUCGGCGGUUGGGGAUGGACUCGCGGCUUAUCAGCUUGUUGGUGGGGUAGUGGCUUACCAAGGCUUUGACGGGUAGCCGGCCUGAGAGGGUGACCGGCCACAUUGGGACUGAGAUACGGGCCAGACUCAGACGGGAGGAAGCGGUGAGGAACAUUGCACAAUGGGAGGAAGCCCGAUGCAGCAACGCCGCGUGCGUGAAGACGGCCUUCGGGUUGUAAGCCGCUUUCGCCUGUGAUGAAGCGUGAGUGACGGUAAUGGGUAAAGAAGCACCGGCUAACUACGUG